GACGAACGCUGGCGGCGUGCCUAAUACAUGCAAGUCGAGCGCAGGUAGUCAUCCGAACCCUUCGGGGGGACGUUGACGGAAUGAGCGGCGGACGGGUGAGUAACACGUAAAGAACCUGCCCUCAGGUCUGGGAUAACCACGAGAAAUCGGGGCUAAUACCGGAUGGGUCAUCGGACCGCAUGGUCCGAGGAUGAAAGGCGCUCCGGCGUCGCCUGGGGAUGGCUUUGCGGUGCAUUAGCUAGUUGGUGGGGUAAUGGCCCACCAAGGCGACGAUGCAUAGCCGACCUGAGAGGGUGAUCGGCCACACUGGGACUGAGACACGGCCCAGACUCCUACGGGAGGCAGCAGUAGGGAAUCUUCCACAAUGGACGAAAGUCUGAUGGAGCAACGCCGCGUGAACGAUGAAGGCCCUCGGGUCGUAAAGUUCUGUUGUAAGGGAAGAACAAGUGCCGCAGGCAAUGGCGGCACCUUGACGGUACCUUGCGAGAAAGCCACGGCUAACUACGUG
rnacentral:rRNA from 1 species